AUGGCAUGGCUUCAGACUGCUUUCUCUGAGGACAUGAACACACCUGUAACCGAGCAUGAGAUCCGGGACAGUAUUCAGGAGAUUCGAACAAAAAUUAUGUCACAAGGGGACCAUCGAGAGGAGGAUGUCCAUAGGCUGGCAGAACUAACCCAGAAUCUAAAGGGACUGCAUUCACCACAGACCCUAAUACAUAUUGGUAAUAGUGACCAUAACACUGACCACAACACGGACCACAGUGUGACCAUAGAGAGAAGGAAAGACCUGCAGGACCAGCUGAGACAGGAGGUGGACGAACACAUCCAAGAGGGGAGAGUAAGUGUGGAGAGGAUGCAGGAGAAAGUGGGUACGAUCCAGCAGCUAAAGGAAGCCCUGAGAGAGGAGGAGAAACAGGAGAGCAGUGAGAAAUCUGGCCACUCAGAACAGGACUGGUACCAGGUGGAGUACAACAGAGCACAGGAGCGGAGGAGGAAGAUCAAAGAGGAUCAUGGGAGAAUGAUACAGGAGGAGGUGGAGAAGAUGGAAAGAGAGCUGGGGCAGGAGCAGACUGAUGGCCCCCAGAGGGAGCUGUUGGUCCUGGGCAGAGAGAGACAGGUCCUGAUUCUACAGAUGGAGGCCCUGCACACUGAGGCCUUGGAGGCUGAGAGAGACCUGGAGACACAGUACCACAGACACCAGCAUGAGCUGCACUCUCUUAGGGAGGAGAGUCUGCAGGUGUUCAGGGUUUUCCGCCAGGUGAGUGAGGAGCAGAGGAGGGUGUCAGAGGGCAGGUACAGGACUCUCCUGCUGGAGGCCAUACAGGAUGCAGUCUACCUGUCUUCUCAGAACCAACAGCUACAGGCAGACAACAAACAGCUCCGCAAAGCAUUGGCAGAGCUAAAGGACAUUCUGUGUGUGCAGGGUGACCUCAAGGGACAAAGAGUAUCCCAGUAA
rnacentral:lncRNA from 8 species